GACGAACGCUGGCGGCGUGCCUAAUACAUGCAAGUUGAGCGAUGAAGAUUGGUGCUUGCACCAAUUUGAAGAGCAGCGAACGGGUGAGUAACGCGUGGGGAAUCUGCCUUUGAGCGGGGGACAACAUUUGGAAACGAAUGCUAAUACCGCAUAACAACUUUAAACAUAAGUUUUAAGUUUGAAAGAUGCAACUGCAUCACUCAAAGAUGAUCCCGCGUUGUAUUAGCUAGUUGGUGAGGUAAAGGCUCACCAAGGCGAUGAUACAUAGCCGACCUGAGAGGGUGAUCGGCCACAUUGGGACUGAGACACGGCCCAAACUCCUACGGGAGGCAGCAGUAGGGAAUCUUCGGCAAUAGACGAAAGUCUGACCGAGCAACGCCGCGUGAGUGAAGAAGGUUUUCGGAUCGUAAAACUCUGUUGGUAGAGAAGAACGUUGGUGAGAGUGGAAAGCUCAUCAAGUGACGGUAACUACCCAGAAAGGGACGGCUAACUACGUG
rnacentral:rRNA from 1 species